rnacentral:rRNA from 1 species
GAUGAACGCUGGCGGCGUGCCUAAUACAUGCAAGUCGAGCGAACAGACGAGGAGCUUGCUCCUCUGACGUUAGCGGCGGACGGGUGAGUAACACGUGGAUAACCUACCUAUAAGACUGGGAUAACUUCGGGAAACCGGAGCUAAUACCGGAUAAUAUAUUGAACCGCAUGGUUCAAUAGUGAAAGACGGUUUUGCUGUCACUUAUAGAUGGAUCCGCGCCGCAUUAGCUAGUUGGUAAGGUAACGGCUUACCAAGGCAACGAUGCGUAGCCGACCUGAGAGGGGGAUCGGCCACACUGGAACUGAGACACGGUCCAGACUCCUACGGGAGGCAGCAGUAGGGAAUCUUCCGCAAUAGGCGAAAGCCUGACGGAGCAACGCCGCGUGAGUGAUGAAGGUCUUCGGAUCGUAAAACUCUGUUAUUAGGGAAGAACAAAUGUGUAAGUAACUAUGCACGUCUUGACGGUACCUAAUCAGAAAGCCACGGCUAACUACGUG